CCUGACAAACUCCGAAUGCUAAUAAAUAUCUGCGGCAGUGAGGCUGUGGGCGCUAAGGUCCAUGGCCGAGAGGGAAAUAACCCAGACUAUCAAUUAAGGCCCCUAAAUCUAUGUUAAGUUGAUCAAACGAAGUUCCAAUCCUAUGACAGCCAGGAUGUUGGCUUGGAAGCAGCCACUCAUUUAAAGAGUGCGUAACAGCU
rnacentral:rRNA from 14 species